CGAACCCGGCGGCGGGCGGUUCCGGCGCGGGCGCCCCUGGUGCGGGCGCUCCCGGUGCCGGUGCGUCCGGCGGGGCUCGGCC
rnacentral:tRNA from 1 species